rnacentral:sRNA from 12 species
CGCCGCUUGGCGAAAAUUUUCACGACAGGACGCGGCUUAGUAGGCGAUGCUCGAAAUGCGGCGAAGUGAAAAAAGGAG